AUUGAACGCUGGCGGCGUGCCUUACACAUGCAAGUCGAACGGCAGCGGGGGAGAAGCUUGCUUUUCCUGCCGGCGAGUGGCGAACGGGUGAGUAAUACAUCGGAACGUGCCCUGUAGUGGGGGAUAACUAGUCGAAAGAUUAGCUAAUACCGCGUACGACCUGAGGGUGAAAGUGGGGGACCGCAAGGCCUCAUGCUAUAGGAGCGGCCGAUGUCUGAUUAGCUAGUUGGUGGGGUAAAGGCCUACCAAGGAGACGAUCAGUAGCUGGUCUGAGAGGACGAUCAGCCACACUGGGACUGAGACACGGCCCAGACUCCGACGGGAGGCAGCAGUGGGGAAUUUUGGACAAUGGGCGAAAGCCUGAUCCAGCAAUGCCGCGUGUGUGAAGAAGGCCUUCGGGUUGUAAAGCACUUUUGUCCGGAAAGAAAUGGCUCUGGUUAAUACCUGGGGUCGAUGACGGUACCGGAAGAAUAAGGACCGGCUAACUACGUGCCAGCAGCCGCAGUAAAAC
rnacentral:rRNA from 1 species